rnacentral:rRNA from 1 species
AUACGUAGGUGACAAGCGUUAUCCGGAUUUACUGGGCGUAAAGGGCGUGUAGGCGGUCUUGCAAGUCAGAAGUGAAAUUCCUGAGCUCAACUCGGGCGCUGCUUCUGAAACUGCAGGACUUGAGUGCUGGAGGGGAUAGCGGAAUUCCUAGUGGAGCGGUAAAAUGCGCAGUUAUCAGGAGGAACACCGGUGGCGAAGGCGGGUCACGGUGAAGUAACUGAAGCUGUGGAGCGAAAGCGUGGUCAGAGAACAGGGUUUUAGACCCUGGUAGUCCAUGCCGUAAACGGGGGGCGCUAGGUGUAGGGGUCUUCCCCGACUUCUGAGCCUUAGCUAACGCAUUAAGCGCCCCGCCUUGGGAGUACGGCCGCAAGGCUAAAACUCAAAUGAAUUGACGGGG